GUGGUGUUCGAGGGAAACUCGUUGAAGAGACGUUCUUCAAAGGGGCAGUUGAAUUCAGAUUUAAAGGAGAAGCAUGCUGCCAAGUUGUGAUGGUUAUGUUAUGUACAGAAAAGAAGCACUGGUCAGCAGCGUGGAGUUCAUCCGGAUGCUUCAGAGCGCGUAACAGCACAGUAAUUCUUUGAGUUGGGAAUAUUACUGCAUCUGUACAGCCUCUAAGAAGUGCCAUAAUUUAAAAAAGGGUAUUUAAAGAAAUGGAGACCAGCCGCUAGGGGCAUUCAGACACCCUUGGAAGUUAGCACCAUUUUUGGGAAGAUAGAAAGAGGAGAAGAUUCCCUCAUCGACGAAGGGGAUUGUUAUCGAAGAAUGAGCUGAAAGACACUGGUCGUGUCGUGGGGUUACACUGUACAUCAUAGGAAGCUUCUUAUUCUCUAUUUUCUCCUUCAGCAAUGAUUUCAUCUUCACUCUU